GAUGAACGCUGGCGGCGUGCUUAACACAUGCAAGUCGAACGGUCUCUUCGGAGAUAGUGGCGGACGGGUGAGUAACGCGUGAGGAUCUGCCCUUAGGCGGGGGACAACCAUUGGAAACGAUGGCUAAUACCCCAUAUGGCGAGAGCUGAAACUUUUUGGCCUGAGGAUGAACUCGCGUCUGAUUAGCUAGUUGGUGAGGUAAGGGCUCACCAAGGCGACGAUCAGUAGCUGUUCUGAGAGGAAGAUCAGCCACACUGGGACUGAGACACGGCCCAG
rnacentral:rRNA from 1 species